UAUACUUAUAUAGUAAAUAUCGGGAUUUUCAUUUUUCGCGGAACUUUCACUUUCCGCGAAAAACCAAGGCCAGCAUAGCCAUAAAAUACUACAUACAAAUCGAAAUCUAAAAAGCGCGAAACUUUCAUAUAUUUUCCGUCGGAACAAUUCUCUUUCAACCCUGGAGAGAAUGCGGGCUCAAAUAAUCGCGCGGAACCUAAAUAUUAUCUACUCUGUACAAAAAGUAGUGUAUAAAAUCGCGCGGACCUUAUCCACAAAGCGCGGAACACAAAUAUCUUCCGCGAAAAUUAAGCAUUGAAUUACUGUACAAAUCUCGGGUUGCUAUGUAAAUUGCGGGUUGCUAAUGAAAAAUCGCGCGGAAGAUUCAUUACUCCGCGCGAUUUUCAAUAGCAUUGAAUUACUGCACGAAAUUCGGGUUGCUAUGUGGUUACGCGAUAAAAUUUGAUUGGUUCCGACACCUAGAAAGAACCUAUCAAAACUCGCGUCUUAUCCAGCAUUCAUGCAGUCAUCAUGAUGACUGUUUCACAUUAACACAAAAAAUUUUAAGGGCGAAAGCGUGAUCAAUUUUGAUGACAUUAGCAAUGAGCUGUAGCAGUGUUCCCAACUUGAACAUCAUCUUCUGUGUACAUAUCUGAGGCAGAGCCAGCUUGCCCAUCUGACCUCUGUUGUGGACAACCGAGUAAGAGCCAGCUUGCAUGUCAUCUGUUGUGGACAUCCGUGUUAGAGCCAGCUUGCACGUCCUCUAUUGUGGACAUCAGUGUUAGUGCUAGCUUGCAUGUCAUCUGUUGUGAACAUCCGUGUAAGAGCCAGCUUGCACGUCAUCUCUUUUGGACAUCAGUGUUAGAGCCAGCUUACACAUCCUCUGUUGUGGACAUCCGUGUAAGUGCUAGCUUGCACGUAAUCUGUUGUGGACAUCUGUGUUAGAGCCAGCUUGCACGUCAUAUGUUUAGGACAUCAGUCAGAGAUAGCUUGCAUGUUAUAUACUUGUGGACAUUAGUCAGAGCCAGCAAGGACAAUCUCUGUUGUGGAUAUCUGUCUUAGAGCUUGCACGUCAUCGGUUGUUCACAUCCUUGUAAUAACCAGCUUGCACAUCAACUGAUGUGGAAAUCUGAGUCAGAGCCAGCUUGCACAUCAUCCGUUGUGGACAUCUCUUUAUGAUUCUACUCUUUGCUUAGAUUGACACUGUGACUUUAGUGUAAUAUGUUACAACCUUAAGCUAUUCCUAUUGUUGAAUAAAAAUAUUGUGUCAUUAAAAUAUAUUUUGUUGGAUAA